rnacentral:rRNA from 1 species
AACGAACGCUGGCGGCGUGCUUAACACAUGCAAGUCGAACGCGAAAGGGACUUCGGUCCUGAGUAAAGUGGCGCACGGGUGAGUAACGCGUAGAUAACCUGUCUUCAUGUCUGGAAUAAUACGCCGAAAGGGGUACUAAUACCGGAUACUCUUGCUUUAUAUAAGGUUUGCAAGCAAAGGUGGCCUCUGCAUAUGCUACUGCAUGAAGAGGGGUAUGCGUACCAUUAUCGAGUAGGUGGGGUAAUGGCCUACCUAGGCGCGGAUGGUUAGCGGGUCUGAGAGGAUGAUCCGCCACACUGGCACUGGAACACGGGCCAGACUCCUACGGGAGGCAGCAGUGAGGAAUAUUGCGCAAUGGGGGCAACCCUGACGCAGCGACGCCGCGUGAGUGAGGAAGGCCUUCGGGUCGUAAAGCUCUGUCAAAGGGAAAGAAGUGCAUGAUGGCUAAUACCUGUCAUGUUUGACGGUACCCUUAAAGGAAGCACCGGCUAACUCCGUGCCAGCAGCCGCCGUAAUAC